rnacentral:rRNA from 1 species
UACGUAGGGUGCAAGCGUUAUCCGGAAUUAUUGGGCGUAAAGAGCUCGUAGGCGGUUUGUCGCGUCUGCUGUGAAAACUGGAGGCUCAACCUCCAGCUUGCAGUGGGUACGGGCAAACUAGAGUGCGGUAGGGGGAGAUUGGAAUUCCUGGUGUAGCGGUGGAAUGCGUAGAUAUCCGAAGGAACAUCAGUGGCGAAAGCGGCUUCCUGGACCAGAACUGACGAUCAGGCACGAAAGCGCGGGG